rnacentral:rRNA from 1 species
GAUGAACGCUAGCGGGAGGCCUAACACAUGCAAGCCGAGCGGUAUUGUUUCUUCGGAAAUGAGAGAGCGGCGUACGGGUGCGGAACACGUGUGCAACCUGCCUUUAUCUGGGGGAUAGCCUUUCGAAAGGAAGAUUAAUACUCCAUAAUAUAUUGAUUGGCAUCAAUUAAUAUUGAAAGCUCCGGCGGAUAGGGAUGGGCACGCGCAAGAUUAGCUAGUUGGUGAGGUAACGGCUCACCAAGGCGAUGAUCUUUAGGGGGCCUGAGAGGGUGAUCCCCCACACUGGUACUGGGACACGGACCAGACUCCUACGGGAGGCAGCAGUGAGGAAUAUUGGGCAAUGGGCGCAAGCCUGACCCAGCCAUGCCGCGUGCAGGAAGAAGGCGUUAUGCGUUGUAAACUGCUUUUAUACAGGAAGAAACGACCCUUGCGAGGGGCAUUGACGGUACUGUAUGAAUAAGCACCGGCUAACUCCGUGCCAGCAGCCGCCGUAACAC